GACGAACCGUGCGAACGUUGUUCGGAUUCACUGGGCUUAAAGGGCGCGUAGGCGGUCGGCUCAGUCUGGGGUGAAAUCUUUCGGCUCAACCGGAAAAGUGCCCCCGAUACUGGCCGGCUAGAGGGAGAUAGGGGCAUGCGGAACUUCCGGUGGAGCGGUGAAAUGCGUAGAUAUCGGAAGGAACGCCGGUGGCGAAAGCGGCGUGCUGGAUCUCUUCUGACGCUGAGGCG
rnacentral:rRNA from 1 species